CCUGAGCUUAGUAACGUGAGCUUGUAACCCGAGUGGGAGCAAUAAGACGAUUGGGACAACCAAUUUGUAAGGCACUUUGACACGAAUAGUGCGUUUGGUUUGGUUGAUAAAAAGAGCGGAUCGUGACACAGUAUGUUGAGUACUAGGGGGCUUGGCUUAACAGAGCAGCGUUCCCGAUGGCCGCUUUGUCAUUAAAGUUCAGUUUCCGCACAAUGCCAAGUCACACACCGCUAUAAGUGUCGGGGUUAUCGUUGGUUGGACCAUCAUCUUU
rnacentral:SRP_RNA from 1 species